GCAGUUAUGUGACCCGUCCCCUUUAAGAUGAUGUCAGAAAUAAUAAUUUAAUAUUUAAUUUCUUUGUUUCAUGUCGGCGGACAUAUACUUCGGUCGAGCAACAACGUUAGAAAUCAGGGACGGUAGAAGUCGAGCAUCAACCUUUCUGCCAAUACAGCAAAACGGAUUGCUUCCUAAAGUAGGUUUCAGUGGGUGUCAAUGUUGAAGCCCUGCGUUAUCUUCUCUGACAGGACUUUAGUUUCCAGUGCUUCAUAUAACACUACCCCGGGACAGAAGCCUAUAUGUCACAGGAUGGAAUAAUAGCCAAAGCCGGCAGAGAGAAGACGCAUAGGAAGAGUUAAGGGAAUGCGGUGAAAUUUCAACUCAAUUCGGAACUGUUCCCUUUAUCCCCUUCAAUGUUUUGGCUUUACCUAAACGGACGUUGGAAAGUGACAAUGGGCAAUCGUUAACCCAGUGGAUUUAUUAUCAUAUCCGACGACUAUAAUAAUAGUGGAAAGGGGAUAUUUCCCAUAUUUCCCAGUCCGUCUAAGAAGUGACCACAGCCUCUCUGGCCCUCAGUCAUGACAUCACCUGAGUCCCCCAUCCCUUCCCCUUCCCCCUGUCCGCCUCCCCCUUCCUCCCUCCCCUCGUCUCCCACUCCCUCCCCCCUCCCACCUCCCCCCUCCCUGACUCCCACAGGGGAGGUGAUGGUCCUGGCCCUGGGGAGGAAGAAGCAGAGGAUGCUCAUCGGUCUCUCCAUCCUGCCCAAUCUCUUCCUGGCCUUCCUUCUCUCCUCGGACGCCCUGCUUACCCUCACCUCACCCCACCACUGCCGCCUCCCGGGACCCUUGCCUGCCGCCCAGAUCCUUAACACCUCCCUGCCCUGGGAGAAGGGGGGCAGAGUGGGGGACAGCGGGGGGCUGUCUCAGUGCAAGCAGUAUAUCAACGGUACCCAGUCCGGGGUGGAAAACUGUGAAGCUGGCUGGGACUACAACGUCACAGAAGGAUUGAGGAUUAACAUUGUUACUGAGUGGGAUUUGGUGUGUGGUCAGUACUGGCUGGUUCCAGUCGAAGAGGUGUCCUUCAUCCUGGGCGUUCUGACAGGAUGCCUGGGACUGGGCUUUGCAGCUGACAGACUGGGCAGGUUGAAGACACUACUCACCUCUCUGACCCUCUCAGUGGUAUUUGGCGUGCUUGUGUGCGUCUCUACCACUCCCCCAUUCUUUAUUGUCAUGCGUUUUUGCCUGGCUGCUGCUAGCGCCGGUGUCUACCUCACGCUUUACAUCACACGUCUUGAACUCUGUGACCCCUCACUACGUCUGCUAGUCACCAUGGUGGCAGGACUAACUACAGUUGCUGGGGAGCUGCUGUUGCUGGGUUUUGCUCUGGGUUACCAGUCCUGGAGAGGCUUACUUGGAACUGGGGCUGCACCGCUCUCUCUGUUCCUCACCUAUGGUAUUCCAGGGGUAUUUCCUGAGUCUCCUCGCUGGCUCCUCCUCUCUGAGAGAUCAGCUGAUCUGAAUUCCUUCAGUGAAAGAAGAGAUAGAGGGAGGGAUGACGAGAGCUUCACAGAGCUGGACUCCGAGCUAUCUCCCUCUACUCGCCCACACCUGUCCUUCCCAGAGCUCGUACACAGCAGGAACAUCUGGAAAAAUAUAUGUGUGCUCGGCUUCACCUCGUUCAUUUCCCAUGGCAUUAGUCACUGUUACAGCUCGUUCCGCGGUGAUGUCAGAGGCACUGCCCCCAGCUUCUAUUGGACCUAUCUACUCUCUGUCUGUGCGGGAGGAGGGGCCUUGCUGUUGUUAUGGGCAACCGUGAACAGGUGUGGUCGACGUGGUAUCCUGCUCCUCGCCAUGACGAUGACGGGGCUGGCAUCUCUGAUUCUCCUCGGACUGAUGGAGUAUCUAAGUGAGGCGGCCAUCACUGUGUUCUCAGUGAUGGGUCUCUUCUCCUCCCAGGCGGCUGCCUCUCUCUGUGUCCUCUUCACAGCAGAGAUCAUGCCCACCAUCAUCAGGGGCAUUGGCGUGGGCACGGUGUUGGCCCUGGGCUGUGUGGGUCGGCUCACCUCGCCGCUCAUGGACCUGCGCAACCACUAUGGCUACUUCCUUCACCAUGUGGUGUACUCCUCCCUGGCUCUGCUGGCCGUGCUCUCCAUCCUGCUUCUGCCCGAGAGCAAGAGGAAACCGCUGCCCCAGACGCUGGCCGACGGGGAGCAGUACCGACGCCCCUCGCUGGGCCGGAGGAGGAGGGACAACGUGCCCCUGCUGGCCACCCCCAACCCAGAGACAUAGCAUGUCAUAACGCCAGCCCAGAGUUUCAGCAGGUCGCGGAGAGGAAGAUGGAGAGGGACAAGAGGGUCAGCUGUCUGCUGAAAAUGGUUGUGCCGAGCCAAUGAAGGAGGGUGGUUGAAGGGACCCCCACCCCCCUCACCUUUCCCAUAAGGCCUGUCUGUCAGGAAAGGGAGCAGAUGCUUUCUGCCCAUGCUCCCGACUGCCACCAUCAGAGAGACCCUUUUGAUUUGUGUAUUAUCUGGCAGAGUAUGGCAUCACACACAGCUCACGGAGGCAGAGGCAGAUGUGACUUGGAGCCAGUACUGUUUAUGGGUCAUUCAUCUUGAUCGUCUGGGCUGUCAGACCUGUCUUCCUCUGGGCUUCACUGAAGACAUAGGGAGUGUGCCUGUGCAUUCAGAGCUGAAAACCUUGGGUAGAUAGAAAUGUAUGGUAGAAAAUGGACACACAUUUAUAUAUUAUAUCAGUUCUACGCUAAAUAUUAUUGUGGGGCAAUGCCCUGAAGAGUUUGCAGCAUUGAAUUAUAGCCACGCCCAGAAACCAGCCCAAGCCCCCACCCCUUAGGCACUGAUCUGAAAGGAUUGGCUAGGUACAAACAAUCCAUCCAGUUUAUCAGGCGGCAUGGUGAAGCUAUUACGAUAUUGCUUAUACCUUUCUGAUCCUUUCAGAUCUCCACAAGCAUCUUGGCCCUAGGCUAGGUGGUAAGGCCUAAGGGCUGUUUCCAGACCUGGGCUAUUCUCUUUUUAGAAUACAGGAACUCACUAUAAUAGAGUGAUGGUGACGUGCAUAACAGGCACCUUGUUGCCAGGCACCUUGUUGCCAGGAUUUGGUACUGUAUGUUUAUUUGAAACAUUGAGGACCUAGCUGUUUGAUGGUUUUUUUUGACAGGUUUUUGACUGGAUCUGCUCCAGAACCUUCUCUGGGCAGAGGUGUGUGU